GAAAAAGUGUUUUGUCAAAGCGCGGGAAAACCAACCUCCAAAACCUCCAGGGUCCUGGCCCAGAUGCAGCCAUUGCAGCAGCUCUGCUCCUGUGCACAGAAACCUGCGCCGCGGCUGCACGUCUUCCCUCUCCCCGAUCGUCUGAAUUCCUACCCGCACGCGCGCAUGGAUAAAUACGUAGUCCCCCGCCCCUCGUCUCCUCCAAACCCUAAACCCCUCCGCAGGUCUCGAUGGAAGAUGAGCCUCGUGGAAUUGAAUGGCAGGAUGCCGCCAAAGCACCGCCAUGAGAUCUCUGCCCUACUGCUUGAAUCAUACGCCGAGAUAGGGGAUUUCGCCCAUUGCUACAAUAUUGGUGGACAAAGCUGUCCGACGCAUCUGAAUCGAAUGGUUAAUGAUGCGAAUGUUGAUCUCCAAGUGCCUAGUAGAAAGGAAGGCAUAUCAGGAUUGGAAUUCGACACCAAGGGAAUAUAUCUGGCAUCAGUAACAAAAUCAGGGUGUUUGACGGUGCAUGACUUUGAAACCCUUUACUACUUGAGCCACAGUCAAUCAUCAUGUUUAUUGGAAGACGAAACAAAACACCUGGUGCACCUUACUACGCAUCAGCAACUAGAUGUUGUUCGAUGGAAUAUAGCUAAUCAAGAUGAGGUUGCUUGCGCCUCUAUGCAAAGUAACAAAAUUCUUCUGUUUGAUAUUGGUUAUAUCUCUUCCGAACCAGUUGAAGUACUGAAAACAAGGCCUACCUUCACAGUGCAUGGUUCUGAAGUAUACAAUGGUUUAUCUGACAUUGCUUUUAUUUCAUCUGACAAGUCAAGGUUGCUUGCAUCGGAUUUAUACGGUGUUAUUUAUGUAUGGGACAGGCGGAUGAGUGACCAUCCAUGCCUAGAGCUUACCACAAAUUUACGAAGCACACUCAAUAGUAUCCAAUUAAAUGUGGAAGAUCGGAUAGUUUAUGGAGCAAGUAAACAAGGGAUCAUCUAUGCCUGGGAUCUUCGUGGCGGGAGAACAUCUAUUGCUUUUCAAAGUCACAAAGAGGUAUAUUAUCCACCUGUAACAUCUGUGAAGCUAGCACAGAUGCUAGAGAAAAUCACAUCCUUGAAGGCACAGUCUGAUAUUUACUCAAAGGAAAUACACUCAAUUGACCUUGAUCCAUCUUGUCCAUAUCAGUUGGCAUUCCAUCUUGACGAUGGUUGGUCUGGAGUUCUGAAUAUUUAUAAUUUUCAAGUGACACACAUGCACUGCCCACCCCCUGCUUGGUUGCACGGCAAAGACAUGUCAACCAAUUCUUUGCACUUGCGAAAACCAGCAUGGUUAGGAACUUGUUCGAUAUAUGCAGUUGGGUCUUCAUCUGAUGAUGGGAUUCAUCUGCUAGACUUCUACCCAGACUCCACCUCAGCAUGCCAUGUGGAUUUCAAGUGAGCAAUAUCCAAAUCUAGUUAUCUACAAUUAUGAAGUUAUACAAGCAAUUGAUCCCACCAUGAGUAUCACAUUUUGAAAAUCAGGACGAUCCACCCAUUAGAUGGGCCACACCUGUAUAUUGAGUCAGAACAUCGCUUAUCUAUCUGUUUUGAUGGUGUGACCUGCUUGAUGAGUGGAUCAACUGAUUUUUGCUUCAGGUGACUUUCAUGAUGGGGCCUACCAUUUGCAUGCUUGAAUGUCCCACAGGUGACUCAUUAGCAGGAAAGAUGGAGCUGCAUGCUAAGCUAGCAUAUAGCUGGCUGUAGGUGAUCAGUUUUCUUUUAGUUGUGGAAGAUAGUACAAUUUAUUUUUGGGUGGGUGACCCAACUGGCAACGGGAUGCCUCAGAUUCAUUUCCUCUCUCCAGAAACAUGGCCCACCUUUCUUGUUGUGUUUGAUUGGUUGGGUCGUCCUGCAUUAUCAAGUUGUAAUUCAGUAAACUAGUCUCUCAAGCCAACGGUUUCUGAAUGUUUGGCUAUAGCAAUCUUCCUUGGUUAUGGUUUCUCAAAGGCAUCAGUCCUGUGGCGAUAUUGAAGAAUGCAGCUCAAGUGACAAGAUAUUCUGACAAAAACCAGCAGCAAUCUUCUAAGAUACAGCAUGACAUGUAAAAGCCUAAGAAGCAACUGCAACCUUGUUAUUUCCUUCUACAAAGCCAGCUUCAGGAAAGAUAAAUGGGUGAUGUCUGAAUGCAAAUACAGGGUCUGAGCUCCAAGUCAACAGACGAAAAUGGAGAGUUACUAUGUGGAAGGAUCUCCAUUGUGGGGGUUGAUCAGACAGCUUGGCUUGAAUUGGGAGCACCCGCAGCACAUUGCAAGGGAAGUGGAAAUUGGUUCGUGCAGAUGCUGUAUAGUAUUUUUAAGUGAAAUGCCGAUUCGAAUGCAUGGGUCUGGUCCCAAUCACGUUUCUACCAUUGCUUUGUGGUCAUGCAGUGCAGAAGCUACAAGUGCUGCUUCCUGCAUGCCUUCCAAAAAAAAAACAGUGCUGCUUCCUGUUUGGGUUCUGGAUUAUUAUCAAACCUACCAUUUUGGGGUAAUGUCUGAAAAUUUUUAAUUAAUUUCUGGAAAAUUGAAAUAUAGAAGAUAGAAAAUCAUGGAGAACACCUUCACAGCGCC